CAGUUCGGAUUGUAGGCUGCAACUCGCCUACAUGAAGUCGGAAUCGCUAGUAAUCGCGGAUCAGCAUGCCGCGGUGAAUACGUUCCCGGGCCUUGUACACACCGCCCGUCACACCAUGAGAGUUUGUAACACCCAAAGCCGGUGGGGUAACCUUUUGGAGCCAGCCGUCUAAGGUGGGACAGAUGAUUGGGGUGAAGUCGUAACAAGGUAAC
rnacentral:rRNA from 1 species